ACCUUUAAUGUCCUUGUGAUUUGUGUUUUAUGCUUUCAAUAUAAGUUUUUUAGAAGAAUGCAUAAUUUUAUCAAGAUGUUAGCAAGAUUGUUAGGUGUGAGUUAAGUCCCUCAUGUUUAUUCUUCAUCCAUUGAUGAAGUUGUGUGUAGGUGUGAGUCAUCUUUUAAAAUGUAUUGUUUAGAAUUUUUUGACAUAUGUUUUGUGCUUAGAGUUUGUUUCAUGAUUAUGGUAUC
rnacentral:lncRNA from 1 species